AACGGCCGUACCAUGCUGAAUAUACCGGUUCUCGUUAGAUCACCGAAGUUAAGCAUCAUUGGGCGCGGUCAGUAGUUGGAAUUUUAAAUUAAAAUAUUGUGGGUGACCAUUUGGG